rnacentral:rRNA from 1 species
UACAGAGGGUGCGAGCGUUGUCCGGAAUCACUGGGCGUAAAGGGCGCGUAGGCGGUCUCUUAAGCGUGUGGUGAAAGCCCGGGCUCAACUCCGGGUCGGCCGUGCGAACUGGGCUCACUGGAGCAUAGUAGAGGCAGGUGGAAUUCCGGGUGUAGCGGUGGAAUGCGUAGAGAUCCGGAAGAACACCGGUGGCGAAGGCGGCCUGCUGGGCUAUGGCUGACACUGAGGCGCGACAGCGUGGGGAGCAAACAGG